CCUACGGGUGGCAGCAGUGAGGAAUAUUGGUCAAUGGACGAGAGUCUGAACCAGCCAAGUAGCGUGAAGGAUGACUGCCCUAUGGGUUGUAAACUUCUUUUAUAUGGGAAUAAAAUGUUCCACGUGUGGGAUUUUGUAUGUACCAUAUGAAUAAGGAUCGGCUAACUCCGUGCCAGCAGCCGCGGUAAUACGGAGGAUCCGAGCGUUAUCCGGAUUUAUUGGGUUUAAAGGGAGCGUAGGUGGAUUGUUAAGUCAGUUGUGAAAGUUUGCGGCUCAACCGUAAAAUUGCAGUUGAAACUGGCAGUCUUGAGUACAGUAGAGGUGGGCGGAAUUCGUGGUGUAGCGGUGAAAUGCUUAGAUAUCACGAAGAACUCCGAUUGCGAAGGCAGUUCACUGGACUGCAACUGACACUGGGGCUCGAAAGUGUGGGUAUCAAACAGGAUUAGAUACCCUAGUAGUC
rnacentral:rRNA from 1 species